UUCCUUUAAGAACAGUAUUGAUAGACUGCCUUUAUGCAAAUCCCUUUGGAAGAAAGGAUGGAGAGGAAGAAGCCGGAAACAGAUCAGAGGCAGGAAAUACCAAAUUGCAUGUUUAUAAACGCUGUGAAGGAAUAUGACAAGAGGGGAUAAUGCUAGACUGGCGGCCAUGGAAACUGAAGUCUUCUGUUUGUUCACAGGACAGCUCAUAGCCCUGAAAGUCCCAGUUCAAGCUUCCACAAUCAUCCUACACAAGAGCACUGCUUCUCACAGGACUGCCUCAGCCUGGCAGGAUUCAGUCUCCUGCUCUGAGGGAAAAACAGGAAGUCAAGGAUCAAGACCGCGUGCUCAACUGAGAUCAGAAAGGAGGACAUACAGUGACUUGGCCAAAUCACUGGAGAUUCACACAGCAGAGCUCAGACGAGUGCUAUCAGCACAGCUGAGGAAGACAAGAGUUAGGGUGCAAGGAUCCUGAAAGAGAAACAUUGGUUGUGUUUUUAUUCCUUGGGUAUAAGAAUCCUGAAACAGAAAGGCAUCUGAACCUUGGAGGCAUGGGGUUCAUCUCAUCCUCAUCCAGCCUUUCACCAGAAACGUGAGGAGACUCAUACCACUUGAGGUAGUGUGGAUGUGUGGCACAGUUUUGGAGAGGGCUAUUCCCCUACCUUUACAUGGAAUCCAGUAACUCUCUGAAAACAUAGCAAUGGCAAAAGUCCUUUUCGAGACUGCAAGGAAAACAAACAACUACCAAGAGAAGUCCAAGCAUCAGGGAAAGAAUGAAGUGGUGUGGAGACCGUAGCCAAUAGCUGCUUUAUGAGCACAUUUGUGGCUACCCUUGGGGACCCAAGAAAUAACCGGAAAGAGUCAAACUGUUCUUCGAAUAGUUUUUGGAUUGCCAACUGAGCUUUCUUUGAAAGCAAAGCUGUGUCAAUACAAGACCACCAGGCACGUGGAGUUUAUACAGGUGACCAUGUUCUGCUUAAAUUCAGCAUCUUCUCUCAGUUCAAAUUUAAGAAAGGAGAUACCACACCACCUACCGACAUAUCCCAUUCUGGAAGAGUAUACAAACUAAAGAUAGAAAACUUCUCAAAUCUACCUGGAAGCUUGCAUAUUCAAAGGAACUAUUUGUUGGAGUGCCAGAUUAUUUAAGGGCCUUUGCAUGUUUCAAGUCCUCUUCUUAAAAUGAGAAAACCGAGGCUAAGAGAAGUUAAAUAGCUUGCCUGUGGAUACACAGCAAGGAAACACAACACCUAGACUAAAAUCUAGGCCUGUCUGACCUCAAAGCUUUCUUUCUUUGUGCCCAAGACCCUGGAAUGCAGAUGUCCUUGUUGUCAAAGACUGUACCAUUCAUGCACAUAUUGGCUUCUUCAGAAUGGCUUUCCAUGUUCGCCUCUUCAACAUCAAGAACCUUUAUUGGGGUCUGUCAUUUGUUUGGCCUAUACAAGGAUGGAUCUCUGUCUACUGAUUACUUGACAGUGCUGAUUUAUGACCUGCUCAUUGCAUCUUCGAUCUGCCACAUCAACCCAUCGUGUGGAUGAUGAAACAAAAGCUUAGAAAAGUUAAUUUGCCAAAGGGCUCAAAGCUAAAUGGUAGAUACAAGACUGAGACCCAGAUCUCUCUGGCUGCAAAGGCUUUGUUCUUUCCACUGUACAAUGCUUUCUUCCCAAAGGAAUAUAUUUGUCACCUCAAAUGUGGUUCAGCUUCGUAAGGCUUGAGAGUGCACAUUUUCCUUUGUCAAAGAUGAAGAACCAAUUUUGAUACUUCAGAGAACAGUAUCAAAGAAAAUUGCACCCAGAAGUCCAUUCCGAGCAAUAUUUUCCCCACACGCUGCCAACUGAUGCUGAGACAGCUGCACAGGCUUUCCUGAGAAAUGUUAUCAUCAAGGCUGCAUUAUAAUGCAAAAUACACCCGGACACCAAGAUGUAAUUCCACCUUUGAACAUUUACAACGUUGGCUUACUAGUCCAUUGUGCUUUUGGUUUUAUUGGGGGAAAGG